AUUGAACGCUGGCGGCAGGCUUAACACAUGCAAGUCGAGCGAGCGGCGGACGGGUGAGUAAUGUCUGGGAAACUGCCUGAUGGAGGGGGAUAACUACUGGAAACGGUAGCUAAUACCGCAUACCAUCAGAUGUUCCCAGAUGGGAUUAGCUAGUAGGUGGGGUAAUGGCUCACCUAGGCGACGAUCCCUAGCUGGUCUGAGAGGAUGACCAGGCACACUGGAACUGAGAAACGGCCCAGACUCCGAGGGGAGGCAGCAGUGGGGAAUAUUGCACAAUGGGCGCAAGCCUGAUGAAGCCAGGCCGCGUGUGUGAAGAAGGCCUUCGGGGUGUAAAGCAAUUUAAGCGAGGAGGCGUUACUCGCAGAAGAAGAACAGGCUAACUCCGUGCCAGCAGCCGCGGUAAUUC
rnacentral:rRNA from 1 species